GAUGAACGCUAGCUACAGGCUUAACACAUGCAAGCCGAGGGGCAGCGGGAUUGAAGCUUGCUUCAAUUGCCGGCGACCGGCACACGGGUGAGUAACGCGUAUCCAACCUUCCGUACACUCAGGGAUAGCCUUUCGAAAGAAAGAUUAAUACCUGAUGGUAUGAUGAGAUUGCAUGAUAUCAUCAUUAAAGAUUUAUCGGUGUACGAUGGGGAUGCGUUCCAUUAGGUAGUAGGCGGGGUAACGGCCCACCUAGCCAACGAUGGAUAGGGGUUCUGAGAGGAAGGUCCCCCACAUUGGAACUGAGACACGGUCCAAACUCCUACGGGAGGCAGCAGUGAGGAAUAUUGGUCAAUGGACGAGAGUCUGAACCAGCCAAGUAGCGUGAAGGAUGAAGGUCCUACGGAUUGUAAACUUCUUUUAUAAGGGAAUAAACCCUCCCACGUGUGGGAGCUUGUAUGUACCUUAUGAAUAAGCAUCGGCUAACUCCGUG
rnacentral:rRNA from 1 species